UAUACAUGCAAGUCAAGGAGAAAGUUUUCUUCGGAAAAUUAUUAAACUGGCGAACGGGUGAGUAACGCGUAGGCAACCUACCCUAGAGAUUGGGAUAACAUCAGGAAACCGGUGCUAAUACUGAAUAAUGCGAUAGAUUCUUCGGAAUAUUAUGGUUAAAGCGGGCUUUGGCUCGUACUUUAGGAUGGGCCUGCGUCCGAUUAGCUUGUUGGUAGGGUAAUGGCCUACCAAGGCAAUGAUCGGUAGCUGGUCUUAGAGGAUGAUCAGCCACACUGGGAUUGAGAUACGGCCCAGACUCCUACGGGAGGCAGCAGUAGGGAAUUUUGCGCAAUGGGGGAAACCCUGACGCAGCAACGCCGCGUGACCGAUGAAGCUUUUAGGAGUGUAAAGGUCUGUCGUAAGGGAAGAAAAAUUUAGAUGUGAAUAAUGUUUAGAUAUGACGGUACCUUGCAAGAAAGCACCGGCUAACUUAGUGCCAGCAGCCGCGGUAAUACUAGGGGUGCUAGCGUUGUCCGGAAUUAUUGGGCGUAAAGGGUCCGUAGGCGUCUUGAUAAGUCACCUGUUAAAGACAUCGGCUUAACCGAUGAAAUGCAGUUGAAACUGUCGGGAUAGAGUAUAGGAGAGGAAAGUGGAAUUUCUGGUGUAGCGGUGACAUGCGUAGAUAUCAGGAGGCACACCAAUGGCGAAGGCAACUUUCUGGCCUAUUACUGACGCUGAUGGACGAAAGCGUGGGGAGCGAACAGGAUUAGAUACCCUGGUAGUCCACGCCGUAAACGAUGAGUACUUGGUGUCGGGGG
rnacentral:rRNA from 1 species